ACUUGAGAGAAGAUAAUAAUACUUUGAUGCUCUUCUCACGCCUACAAAUGAGGGCGACGUGAUAAACAGCACAGCACGCGAAAGGGUACGUGAACGCCAACGAACGGCGUGCCGCCAACAACUGCAUGGGCUGUCACUUCAGUGUAUUCUUCCCGCCUUUGGAAGAAGCAUUUUGGACUAAAGCUACCUUGAUAUGUACAAAACAUGGGAGACUACGUGCAGGAUUAUGAAUGGCUACCUGAAUGCUGCUUGAAGCAGCGAGCUCUACAGCACCACUCAUGCCCCUUUCCAUGGGUUGGCAAGAGGAGCAGUGGCACACAACUCUACAGGCACUUGUGCUUUUUAUCAUCUUUGGAGGAGAUGUAUUGGGUGCUCCAUACCAUGCACUGCCAUUUCAAUACACCAAGGCUUUUCGUGUGGAUUCCUUCCCUUUUCAAGGCCACCACUGCUUGCACAGCAUCAUCAGCCUACCUUCCUUGAACUUCAUGUUCCAUAUGGCAGAAGAAAAUACAAAAUGCCUACUCUGAAAUACAUGCUUGGCUCCAUGCAGCACUCCCUGCCGUCAGGGUGCUAGAACUUUGUGCAGAGAAAAUGUUCGUAAUGAUGCUAUAUGUGUACAGCCUUGGUGGUAAAGUGUUGCCCGCUUCGCCUAUGAGAGAAUUUCACACUUAUGGGCACUGUUAAAGGUUCAUGUGUUAAAUGUUUGACAUCCUAUAGAAAUUUUCAUGUUUCAGUGUAAAAGCAAAAUUAUAGUUGAAUUGCUGCUUUUUGUGAUAUGCAAUAUACAGCUGAAGGUGAUUAGCAGUGGUGAAACAGGUGUUGUAUGAGGUAGUAAAUUGUUUUCAACAGAGGGAGUUGUCUUUGCUAGGGCAACAACUGUUUUCCUUGGCAGCAUUGAUAUAGUUCACUUUUCCCCACUCCAUAGACAUCUAGGAGAAUAAGCAGGGUUGCAUACAGUAGGGUGAGGUAAGUUGAAAUGCUCAACAUGAUGGUUUAGUUGGGAAGGUGAGGUGUGUGGGAGAAAUAGGGGAGUU